AAUCUUGCGCAAUGGGCGAAAGCCUGACGCAGCGAUGCCGCGUGCGGGAAGACGGCCUUCGGGUUGUAAACUGCUUUUGUACGGGAAAAAACCUCCGAACGUGUUCGGAGCUGAUGGUACCGUAAGAAUACGGAUCGGCUAACUCCGUGCCAGCAGCCGCGGUAAUACGGAGGAUCCAAGCGUUAUCCGGAUUCAUUGGGUUUAAAGGGUGCGUAGGCGGACUAGUAAGUCAGUGGUGAAAUCCUGCAGCUUAACUGCAGAACUGCCAUUGAUACUGCUGGUCUAGAGUACAAUUGAUGUGGGCGGAAUGUGUCGUGUAGCGGUGAAAUGCUUAGAUAUGACACAGAACACCGAUUGCGAAGGCAGCUCACAAAACUGUAACUGACGCUGAGGCACGAAAGUGUGGGGAUC
rnacentral:rRNA from 1 species